GACAAAGUUAGAUUCAACAACCAGUUAUCAUUUUGAUAAUUAAAUAUUUGAAUUUCAAACAUUUGAAGUUAGAUCUUCCAAUGUUCUGUCGUUUUUUAUGUUAAAUAUCAGCAAAGUUACAGGGCGACCAACAUAAUACAAGGUACCUCCUUUUUUUUCAGACAAUCAAAAGUAUUUACACUCUAAAGCUGUUUUCUGCGAGACAGAAAAUACUGUUGGGCCUCAAUACUACAAUCUUACUUAUCAGAGUGUGUUUUCAAUAGAUAAAAAGGAACGACAAAGUUAGAUUCAACAACCAGUUAUCAUUUUGAUAAUUAAAUAUUUGAAUUUCAAACAUUUGAAGUUAGAUCUUCCAAUGUUCUGUCGUUUUUUAUGUUAAAUAUCAGCAAAGUUACAGGGCGACCAACAUAAUACAAGGUACCUCCUUUUUUUUCAGACAAUCAAAAGUAUUUACACUCUAAAGCUGUUUUCUGCGAGACAGAAAAUACUGUUGGGCCUCAAUACUACAAUCUUACUUAUCAGAGUGUGUUUUCAAUAGAUAAAAAGGAACGACAAAGUUAGAUUCAACAACCAGUUAUCAUUUUGAUAAUUAAAUAUUUGAAUUUCAAACAUUUGAAGUUAGAUCUUCCAAUGUUCUGUCGUUUUUUAUGUUAAAUAUCAGCAAAGUUACAGGGCGACCAACAUAAUACAAGGUACCUCCUUUUUUUUCAGACAAUCAAAAGUAUUUACACUCUAAAGCUGUUUUCUGCGAGACAGAAAAUACUGUUGGGCCUCAAUACUACAAUCUUACUUAUCAGAGUGUGUUUUCAAUAGAUAAAAAGGAACGACAAAGUUAGAUUCAACAACUUUAAGAAAACCUGAAUCGUUAUAUUCUGUUAUCAGCACUGCACUAAAAACUGUUACCUGUGUCACUCCUUCCAGCGUCCGUGAAUGUCUGACCCACGAAAAGCCAGAGGCGUAAUCUUGUGUGACGUUGAAGCAACCCUGUUAAAUGUAUUACUGCUUACUGAUGAUGGUGUUUGGAUGCUGUUACUAUUGUUCACAGGACAUAUAUUUUCAAUCCUGAUGGAACUUUUCAAAAUAUGGAGACAUGUUAUUGGCAAAGACUAAAGAUUUUGAAGGACUUAAAGUCACUAUAGAUUUUGCCACUGCUGCUCAAAUAUUACGUCCACGCAAACGAAAAAUAGCUUACGUUUAAAAGGAAGUAUUCUGUUGGAGAGAAACUAUUGUACAAAGACUUCAUUAACUGUGCCAAAGAUAAUUAGGAAAUUUUGUCAUAUCUUCCAUAAGUUUAAAACAGAUCUUUAUUUCAUAAUUUUCAUUUUUUUCUCCAAUAUUACGCUUUGCUCUCCAGUAUUUUACUCAUUAAAUAAGCCUGCUGUAGAUAAUAACAGUACCAUAUCAGUACGAAAGUGAUUUAAGACAGUGUAUUUUGUAAAUGAAAAUUACUUUAUGUUUUAUGAGGAUAGAAUUCUUGACUUCCUAAUGUAUGAACACUAUGUCAAUAAUAAAGAUAAAUAAAAUAUU